ACGGCUCAGUAACACGUUGCUAAUCUACCCUUAGAUCGGGAAUACCCUCGGGAAACUGAGGAUAAAACCCGGUAGAGGAUGUUCUCUGGAAUGAAGCAUCCUUGAAACUUUGGUCUAAGGAUGAGGCUGCGGUUGAUUAGGUAGUUGGCGGGGUAAAUGCCCACCAAGCCGAUGAUCAGUAAGGGCUCUUAGCGGAGAGGCCCUGAGAAGGAACCUUAGACAACGUUCCUAGUCCUACGGGACGUAGCAAGCGGGGAAAUUUUACAAUGCGCGAAAGCGUGAUAAAGCAAGCCAGAGUGUUUUUCAUAUAAUUUGAAAAACUUUUAUUCGUUGCAAAAAGACGGAUGAAUAAGGAGUGGGCAAGACCGGUGCCAGCCGCCGCGGUAAUCCCGGCGCUCCAAGUCGCAGCCACAAUUAUUGGGUCUAAAACAUUCGUAGCUUGUUGAGUAAGUUUCUUGUGAAAUUUCACAUCUUAAGUGUGAAGCGUGCACGAAAUACUGCUCAACUAGGGACCGGAAGAAGCAAGAAGUAUGCUUGAGGUAGUGGUAAAAUAUUUUAAUCUCAAGCAGACUAACAACAGCGAAGGCAUCUUGCUAGCACGGAUCUGACAGUGAGGAAUGAAGGCUAGGGUCGCGAAGUGGAUUAGAUACCCACGUAGUCCUAGCAGUAAACACUGCUCACUGAACAUUAGGACCUCCUCGAGAG
rnacentral:rRNA from 1 species